CAUAAGUCUCAAAAGUUGGAGACUCAUUACAUAUUUACAAUGUUGGGCACAUACAUUAGCUAACACUAAAGCCUAUCUACUAAUCAAAAUAUUAAUACAUCUUUUACAUAUCAUUCAUCUGAAUCCACCUUCACUUCCUCAUCAAGACCUUUUCAAAGUUUCCAUUAAAUUGAUCAUUUGAUAUCUUUUUCAGAUUCUUUUUCUAGAUUUUAAUUUGGAUCCUAUAUUAAAUCGUCUUCAAUUUCCCUCCACAAGAUAGGAGUGGAGCUUAUCAAUUUACUAGGUAAAGCUUCAACAUUCAAGUUGUCUAACCAAGGUGCACCGAUGAUCCUUUGCAUUUUGUUACGCUUUUGAAAUUCAACACUUAAAGUAAUAGUCUUCUUUGUGCCAUACAAGAGGGUUGUUAACAUAAAGCUUAUAAUCAAUUUUUCAUAUGUUUGUGGUGUCACCCAACUCCAAAGCUCAUCUAAAAGUUCUUAUUGCUUAAGGUCCAAUAGUGUACCUCUCUAAGUGAGGUAUUGCACUUCAUCUUUCUGAAUUGAUUCAUGACCUUUCCUUAUCACCUUCUCGAAUACACUACUUAUCUGUAGAAUUUAAGUGAAGAGUGCGAGCUUAAACAAACUCAGUGAAUUUUUAGAAGUACUACUCAUCAUACACAAUAGCAUAAGUUAAUCAAGAGCAUACUAAGACACAUUCGCAAACUCAUUUUCCUCAAGUCAAAGAAUCGUUUCCAUGCUUCAUUAUCUCACGAGGUUUGAAUAUACGUUUACAUAUAAUCACACACAUCAUAGCCCAUAUAUUUCAAACAAUGAUAAAUUGGCAUCUUGAUAUUAUGAAACAUAUAGGUGGACUCAAUCACCACAUAUUAGAUAAAUGUAUCUCCAUCACACCAAUGACUUAAAGAGUCUAACAUGCCCCAACAAGUGUAACAUUAAGCUAAACACUCUCCAACACAACAAACAUGUUCCGUUGAAUGGAACAUAGCUCAACAUUCCCUUAUAUCUCUAUCUUGUCCCAAGACCUUAAUUGCCCAUCACAAAACAAAAAGGUUAGUACUCACAAUCCUAUGACAUGCCAACUAUUUUCAAUGAUUUCAAGAGAUAAAAAAGCCAAAUAUCUAUAUUUACACAUAUUUAUUUAUUGUUUUAAUACACAUAAAAUCUGUUCAUAGUCAUCAGUUUCACAUUACAACCUCAUACACAAUACAUGUUUAUCGGAUACAUAUUUAAUUGCACUUACAAGUGUCACAAUAGUGCUCAUUGAGCUAUCAUAUAUCAGUUCUCAUAGGUGUACGUUAAAAAUCAAUAGCUCACAUAUCACAUUAAUAUACUUUCACAUAUUACUUGCUGCAAUAUAUCAUAUAUCACAACUCAUCCUACUUAGGCAUGAUUUUACAAACAAGGCAAAAAGUAUAGGAAAGGCUUACCUUCGGAACUUAAGAUAGGGAUUUAGGCUAAUCCUAAACUCUCGGUUAACACUAUGAAUUGUGCAUAUCAGCAGCGACUUCAAAACACUCACCGAUCUUGCUUUUGCUUGCUAGUCGAAAGCUUAAAUAAGUUUCGCCUUGCCUUUCGACUUGCUAGUAGAUGGCUCCAAUAGAUCCAAAACUUCUCAUACAUAAUAUACACAAUACAUAUAUGUCAUUAAUAGCCACAAACACCACAAAAAUCAAACAAAGAUGCAAAUCUAAUCUAUCUCCUUUUAAACCGAAACUUAAAUUUCUAGAUUCAAUCUCAUUUUCGUUGUUUGAAAUUGAUUCAAAAUAUCUAAUUAAUCACUUUACAAUAGAUCUAAACCAUUAAAACACCUAGAAAUUUAGAUUUAAAGUUUUUGACAAAUUUGACGUUCAUGAACAUCUUGAAUGAUAAGUCGUUAAAUCGUUCAAAUCCCUUAACUAUUGGUUAAAGUAAGAUUUUAAACCUUUUAAUCUAAUCAAAAUAAGUUGAAAAUCACUUAGAAACCAAAGUUUAGUUUGGAAAUCCAAAAUUUUCCAUUAUUGAUCUCAAUUUUUGACAUAAUCCAUUAAAUUCAUAAAAACUCAUUCUAAAGAAUCAAACCUUGAUUUAUAAAAACAAGAUGCAUGAAAACAUAGUCAAGAAACAAAAUAUUACCUUGCUUGGUGAAGAAAAACGAACCAAAGAUUGAAUUUCGUGAAAAUCCAAUAGAAAAAGAAUGAAAAAAUCGGUGACAUUUUUUAUGGUUUUCUUAAAAAUUGAGAGAGAUUUUGGUGUUCGAGAAAAAGGAAAAUCAAAUUGAAGAGUUUGAUUUGAAAGUAAACAGGGAGUUUUGGUGUUUGCAGAAUUUUCAAAUAACAAGCAAAGAAGAAGGAAGAAUAGCGGUUCACGCUUAAAAGUUCUGCCAAAUCCCAACUCUUUGAAUUUUAGGCCAAAUUGCUUGUGGGAAACUCCCAACGUUGCCUCAUUUUCAAUUUAGUCCUCUUUUCUAGUUAAAAGCCUUUUUCUCGUUUCUUUUUAAAAUUUUAUUUUAUUUUUG
rnacentral:lncRNA from 1 species